rnacentral:rRNA from 1 species
AUUGAACGCUGGCGGCAUGCCUUGCACAUGCAAGUCGAACGGCAGCACGGGGCAACCUGGUGGCGAGUGGCGAACGGGUGAGUAAUGCAUCGGAACGUGCCAUUGAGUGGGGGAUAACGUAGCGAAAGUUGCGCUAAUACCGCAUAUUCUGUGAGCAGGAAAGCAGGGGACCGCAAGGCCUUGCGCUCUUUGAGCGGCCGAUGUCAGAUUAGCUAGUUGGUGAGGUAACGGCUUACCAAGGCGACGAUCUGUAGCGGGUCUGAGAGGAUGAUCCGCCACACUGGAACUGAGACACGGUCCAGACUCCUACGGGAGGCAGCAGUGGGGAAUUUUGGACAAUGGGCGCAAGCCUGAUCCAGCCAUGCCGCGUGAGUGAAGAAGGCCUUCGGGUUGUAAAGCUCUUUGUCGGGGUACGAGUAAUGACGGUACCCGAAGAAUAAGCUCCGGCUAACUUCGUGCCAGCAGCCGCGGUAA